AAUGAAUACUUAUAAAUAAGAAAUACUUAUUUCAUCUAAAGGAAUAUCAAAGAAUGUUUAUAAAAUAAAAUAAUGGAAAAGAUGCAACACUGUUAUGUUUUGUCAACAAAUUGAUGAUACCAUGAGUACCAUAUGAGUAGUCAUUCAAAUAUUAAAUCAGAUCAUUCAAAUAUUAAAUGCAAUGAGUAUGCACAUUGAUAAUGAAUCCAAUCGAAGAAAGCAAUGAAAUCUAGAACAACAUUACGAUUAAACAAUACCCCCAUACUUUUGUUAGCUUCAAUUUCUAUUUGAAACUGGCGCCUUUCAAGGAGACCGGCAACCAUUAGACUGCCCUCGUGACAUUCGAGGUAGAGUAUGAUGGUUCCAUCGAGUAGGUAGUGCCUAGACGGGGCUCCACCCAGCACUUAGUUUACGUCGCGAUUGCGGCCCCGGGCACGGCCGUUUCCAGGGUACAGUCACGCCCCUGCCAUGCGAGUACUGUACUCCCAUUCGCUGGCCCAUAUCUCAUCUGGUCCAUCGCAUUAGCCUAAUCUGCCAGCAACGUGAAAAGAGAAAAAAAAUCGGCCAUCGACGUUGCCACUGACGAGAGAAAUCGCGGCGAGGUGCUGCCACCUUACUGGCAGGAUCGAGAAGUUGACCGGUUGUCGAAUUGAUUUUUUUUUCCUGCAAACAACGUUGUCACGCUCUUAUUUUGGCUAGUAGUUGGAUUUCAUUGUUCGUGUAUUGCUAGGAUUAAUAUCUCCUGCAGUUUUGCAAUUCGCGGUCAUACCUGUUCGCGUCGGCCGGAAACGAGAAUAUCUUUUAUUUGAGCGUCUGCUUCUCAAGCUGAUUAAAAUGUUUGUUUCCAUCAUUGGAAUCAGUUUACCAAUAUGGGCCCGAAUUGCUGGUGAUGAAUUGCAGACGCUGUACUAAUAGGAUCGUCAGAUGGCAGUUUCUUGAAUGCAUGAAGUAUUUAACGUGCGUGCAAAAUUUGGGAGUGGCCGUUACACACGAUACGCAGCUUACAAGAGAGGGUGGAAGUUGUCUUCCCUAGCAGCAGAAGAAUCCACUGGUUUCCGGUACACGCAAAAGUCUCAUUAACUUUCGCCAUCCGAUAUCCCGUUUUAAAAUGGAGCUACUGUUCAUCUACCAGUAAGAAACGUUUGUGACAUAUAAUCUAAUUCAUG